rfam:Picea glauca, whole genome shotgun sequence.
UAAAACAUAACAUUAAUGCACCAGAUCCCAUUAGAACUUCGUAGUUAAGUACGCUUGGGCUAGAUUAGUACUGGAAUGGGUGAUCGCUUGGGAAGUCCUAGUGUUUUAC